GGGCCCAUAGCUCAGCGGUUAGAGCAGUAGACUCAUAAUCUAUUGGUCGUAGGUUCAAAUCCUUCUGGGCCCA
rnacentral:tRNA from 1 species